rnacentral:rRNA from 1 species
AGUGAACGCUGGCGGCGUGCCUAAUACAUGCAAGUCGAACGGAGUGGCGCACGGGUGAGUAAUGUAUAGCUAAUCUGCCCUACACUAGAGGACAACAGUUGGAAACGACUGCUAAUACUAUAUAGUGUAGGUGGCGGCUAUAUUGUAUCAGCUAGUUGGUGAGGGAAUGGCGCACCCAGGCUAUGACGCAUAACUGGUCUGAGAGGAUGAUCAGUCACACGGGAACUGAGAAAAGGUCCAGACUCCUACGGGAGGCAGCUGUAGGGAAUAUUGCUCAAUGUGGGAAACCCUGAAGCAGCAACGCCGCGUGGAGGAUGACACUUUUCGGAGCGUAAACUCCUUUUGUUCGGGAAGCGGUACCUAACGAAUAAGCACCGGCUAACUCCGUGCCAGCAGCCGCGGUAAUAC